CUGUUGAGUUAGGAUGAUAAAAAUCAAGAGUGACAUUUGGUAUACAAUUUUGUUUAUAAAAGUGGGUCCAGCUGCUUUUAUUUGUUAGCUAAAAUAA